CAGCAGCCGCGGGAAUACGUAGGUGGCAAGCGUUGUCCGGAAUUAUUGGGCGUAAAGGGCUCGCAGGCGGUUUCUUAAGCCUGAUGUGAAAGCCCCCGGCUCAACCGGGGAGGGUCAUUGGAAACUGGGAAACUUGAGUGCAGAAGAGGAGAGUGGAAUUCCACGUGUAGCGGUGAAAUGCGUAGAGAUGUGGAGGAACACCAGUGGCGAAGGCGACUCUCUGGUCUGUAACUGACGCUGAGGAGCGAAAGCGUGGGGAGCGAACAGGAUUAGAUACCCGGGUAGUCCCUGUCUCUUAUAC
rnacentral:rRNA from 1 species